rnacentral:rRNA from 1 species
AACGUACGCUGGCGGCACGCCUAACACAUGCAAGUCGAGCGAGGUAGCAAUACCUAGCGGCAGACGGGUGCGUAACAUGUGGGAAUCUGCCUUUUGGUUCGGAACAACACGGGGAAACCUGUGCUAAUACCGGAUAAGUCCUUACGGAGAAAGUUUUAAUGCCAAAAGAUGAGCCCGCAUUUGAUUAGCUAGUUGGUGAGGUAAAAGCUCACCAAGGCGAUAAUCAAUAGCUGAUUUGAGAGGAUGAUCAGCCACACUGGGACUGAGAUACGGCCCAGACUCCUACGGGAGGCAGCAGUGGGGAAUCUUGCACAAUGGGCGAAAGCCUGAUGCAGCGAUGCCGCGUGAGUGAAGAAGGCCUUUGGGUUGUAAAGCUCUUUUGUCGGGAAAGAUAAUGACUGUACCCGAAGAAUAAGGUCCGGCUAACUUCGUGCCAGCAGCCGCGGUAAUACGAAGGGACCUAGCGUAGUUCGGAAUUAUUGGGCGUAAAGAGUAUGUAGGCGGCUAGAUAAGUUAAUUGUGAAAGCCCAAAGCUUAACUUUGGAAUUGCAAUUAAAACUAUUUAGCUGGAGUAUGAUAGAGGAAAGCGGAAUACAUAGUGUAGAGGUGAAAUUCGUAGAUAUUAUGUAGAACACCAGUUGCGAAGGCGGCUUUCUGGAUCAUUACUGACGCUGAGAUACGAAAGUAUGGGUAGCGAAGAGGAUUAGAUACCCUCGUAGUCCAUACCAUAAACGAUGAUUAUUAGAUGUGGGGAAUUACUUCUCUGUAUCAUAGCUAACGCGUUAAAUAAUCCGCCUGGGGAGUACGACCGCAAGGUUAAAACUCAAAUGAAUUGACGGGGACCCGCACAAGCGGUGGAGCAUGUGGUUUAAUUCGAAGCAACGCGCAGAACCUUACCAACCCUUGACAUGUUCGUCGCGAGACUAAGAAAUUAGUCUCU